CCAUUUUAGAGAUGAGAAAACUAAGGCUCUGGGAGCUGAUGUGAUAUUCCAGGGCCACCAGAAUAAUGGCAAGAGUGGCAUCCACACCCUACCCGAUGUCUGAUUCUGGGGCUCAUCUUCUACCUCUACUCUCCUAUUUAUUAUUUCCCAUCUUUUUUUAUGCCUUCAUUCUUUCUGGAAAGACAUGCUGAGCGCCUGCACUGGGCCAGGCUCAGGGCUAGGCGUGGACCUCAUCACGGUGUACUCAGCCCAUCCUGAAUUUAAAUAAACAGCUCCCACGCAGGGAAACCAGCUCUGUGUGAAUUCUGGAGCGGGAAAUAUCAAGGCUACCUGGGGCACCCCAGGCAGUCUUCCUGGAGGAAGUGGCAAGUGGAAAGGAAACCAGAAGAAUGAGUAAGAGCUUAGAGACCUAUGAAGAGGAGAGAGCUCUCCCAAAAGAUCAGAGAAUGGCAGAACCCAGCACCUGGGGCCGGACACACCCCUGAUGACGACGGUUUACAGAGAAUCUGUCUGCUUCUGUGACACACCAACAGGCUGAGAGAAACCUGCCCUGAGUCAGCAGUGACAAGCCAGGGACAAAACCCAGGAGCCGGGAUCAUCAGCACCAUCCCGCUCCAUUUCCAGGGCCCAGGAAGUCCAGCUGCCACGUCUUUGCCCUAUUGCCAGUACACCUACGGACCCAGCCCUGCCAGAACCCUCAUUCCCUGCCAGGUCCCCUGGCUGCAUCAUAUCAGGAAGGGUACAACCACAUCUGAACUGUCCCAUCCCCUGGCAGGUGGCGGGGUGGGGCCAGGAACAGCCACACUGGUGAUUAGGUUUGAGCUUUGUAAUUUUUCAAUUUUUUUUUUUUUUUUUGAGGUAGUCUCACUCCGUCACACAGGCUGCGGUGCAAUGGUAUGAUCUCAGCUCACCGCAGCCUCCG